AGAAAUUAAGGGUUGUAGGAGGAUGCCUUGGCAUCAACAGGCGAUGAAGGACGCGUAAACCUGCGAUAAUCCUCGGUGAGCUGGAAUUAGCUUUGACCCGAGGGAUUCCGAAUGGGGGAACCCAACAAGAGUAAAGUCUUGUUAUCCUAAACUGAAUACAUAGGUUUAGGAGGCGAUACCUGCUGAAGUGAAACAUCUCAGUAAGCAGAGGAGUAGAAAUCAACCGAGAUUUCCUUAGUAGCGGCGAGCGAACGGGAAAUAGCCCAAACCGAGAGAUUUUCUUUCGGGGUUGUAGGACCGACAUAAAGAUGUUUUUUUCUUAGUUGAAUAACCUGGAAAGGUUGACGAGACACGGUGAUAGUCCGGUAAACGAAAAGAAAAAAACACAAGUUGGUAUCCUGAGUAGGGCCGAGCACGUGAAACUCCGUCUGAAUCUGGGGGAGA
rnacentral:rRNA from 1 species